UACGUAGGCAGCAAGCGUUGUUCGGAAUUACUGGGCGUAAAGAGUGUGUAGGCGGUGUUCUAAGUUUGUCGUGAAAUCUCCCGGCUUAACUGGGAGGGUGCAUUAGAAACUGGAAUGCUAGAGGAUGGGAGAGGUAAGCGGAAUUCCUGGUGUAGCGGUGGAAUGCGCAGAUAUCAGGAGGAACACCGAUGGCGAAGGCAGCUCGCUGGGACGGUACUGACGCUGAGGCGCGAAAGCGUGGGGAGCGAACAGG
rnacentral:rRNA from 1 species